rnacentral:misc_RNA from 1 species
UUGCCAUUUGCGUGGGUCACAACGCAGGUGAUGAGGUUGGUCGGGGGCACGACGCCCCCAAGUAGCGGUACCACGACACGGAUGGAGGUUGGGCGAACCCAGCUCGCUAAUGAUCCUUCCGCAGGUUCACUGUUGGGGUUAGCUCGGACGUCCACAGAUGGGGGGAUGGGGUGCACUCACCCUACGGAAA